ACUUUAUAUAUAUAAUUCAUGCUGUCCAUUCUACACCACAGUUUUACUUUAUAAAUACAUGAUGCAGAAGUUGAGUGGACUUUUACUCUGUUGCUGUUUUCUUAUAUUUUUUGGCAGCACUGGAGUCAGUGGUCAAGGCCCAUGCAGGCUUGGGUGUCCUCCAAGUCCAGGCGCCGGUAUAUGCGUUGAGGAGUGUCAGAGAGGUGGAUGUGGUCCAGGACAGCUGUGUUGUUCAAAUGGUUGCGGUCACGUUUGUAUGAUAGCGACUGAAAUAUGCUGAUGAACCAGAUGCUGGAUUUGAUGUUGCUUUUUUUCUAUUGCUACCAAUGCAAUGUUGAGAUAAAGUCUUUAAAUUGGAAAAUAAAUGUUUAAAAACAGGA